AGUUGUUGUUUAGGCUAUGUGCCAUUUUCCCAGUCAAAAAUAUGCGAUCUCCUAAUGCAAAUGAACGGACUCCAUAGGAGGAAAUGUCAUUCUUAUAUGAGGUUCCUUUUUCAACUAC